rnacentral:rRNA from 1 species
GUCCUUUUGUUGUAAAUAUAAGGUCUAACCUGCCCAAUGAAGAUUUUUAAAUGGCCGCGGUAUUUUGACCGUGCAAAGGUAGCAUAAUCAUUAGUUUUUUAAUUGAAAGCUGGUAUGAAAGGUUGAAUAAGAAAAUUACUGUCUCUUUAAAAAUUUAUUAGAACUUUAUUUUUUAGUUAAAAAGCUUAAAUUUUAUUUAAAGACGAGAAGACCCUUUAGAGUUUUAUAUAAAUUGAUUUAUUUUAUUUUUAGAAUUAAUAUAUAAAAUUUAUUUAUUUUUAUUUGAUUGGGGUGAUUAAAAAAUUAAAUUAACUUUUUUUAUUAAAAUACAUUGAUUUAUGAAUAUUUGAUCCAAUUUUUUUGAUUAUAAGAAUAAAUUACCUAAGGGAUAACAGCGUUAUUUUUUUAAAGAGUUCAAAUCGAAAAAAAAGAUUGCGACCUCGAUGUUGGAUUAAAAUUAAAUUAUGGUGUAGAAGCUAUAACUUUAGGUCUGUUCGACCUUUAAAAUUUUACA